rnacentral:tRNA from 1 species
GCUGGUUUUGCUCAGUGGACAGAGCAUCAGUCUGCGGACUGAAGGGUCCUGGGUUCGAUUCCCAUUAAGGGCA